AUACGUAGGGGGCAAGCGUUGUCCGGAAUUACUGGGCGUAAAGAGCUCGUAGGCGGCUCAGCAAGUCGGUCGUGAAAGCCCGAGGCUCAACCUCGGAACUGCGGUCGAUACUGCUGUGGCUAGAGUCCGGUAGAGGAGAGUGGAAUUCCCGGUGUAGCGGUGGAAUGCGCAGAUAUCGGGAGGAACACCAGUGGCGAAGGCGGCUCUCUGGGCCGGUACUGACGCUGAGGAGCGAAAGCGUGGGGAGCAAGCAGGAUUAGAAACCCUUGUAGUCC
rnacentral:rRNA from 1 species